rnacentral:rRNA from 1 species
UACGAAGGGGGGCUAGCGUUGCUCGGAAUCACUGGGCGUAAAGCGUGCGCAGGCGGCUUCUCAAGUCAGGGGUGAAAGCCCAGAGCUCAACUCUGGAAUUGCCUUUGAGACUGAGUGGCUUGAGUACGAGAGAGGUGAGUGGAAUUCCCAGUGUAGAGGUGAAAAUUCGUAGAUAUCGAGAGGAACACCGGUGGCGAAGGCGGCCAACUGGACGAAUACUGACGCUGAGACUCGAAAGCGUGGGGAGCGAACAGG